UACGUAGGUGGCAAGCGUUGUCCGGAUUUACUGGGCGUAAAGAGCGCGCAGGCGGUCGUUCAAGUCGCGUGUGAAAGCCCCCGGCUCAACUGGGGAGGGUCACGCGAUACUGAUCGACUCGAAGGCAGGAGAGGGUAGUGGAAUUCCCGGUGUAGUGGUGAAAUGCGUAGAUAUCGGGAGGAACACCAGUGGCGAAGGCGGCUCGCUGGACCGGAACUGACGCUGAGGCGCGAAAGCGUGGGGAGCAAACAGG
rnacentral:rRNA from 1 species